CCUACGGGAGGCAGCAGUGAGGAAUAUUGGUCAAUGGGCGAGAGCCUGAACCAGCCAAGUCGCGUGAGGGAAGACGGUCCUAUGGAUUGUAAACCUCUUUUGUCGGGGAGCAAAAAGACUACGUGUAGUCCCAAGCGAGAGUACCCGAAGAAAAAGCAUCGGCUAACUCCGUGCCAGCAGCCGCGGUAAUACGGAGGAUGCGAGCGUUAUCCGGAUUUAUUGGGUUUAAAGGGUGCGUAGGCGGAAUGCCAAGUCAGCGGUAAAAUCGCGGGGCUCAACCUCGCUCCGCCGUUGAAACUGGCGUU
rnacentral:rRNA from 1 species